rnacentral:rRNA from 1 species
ACGUAGGGUGCGAGCGUUAAUCGGAAUUACUGGGCGUAAAGCGUGCGCAGGCGGUUUUGUAAGCCAGAUGUGAAAUCCCCGGGCUCAACCUGGGAAUGGCAUUUGGGACUGCAAGGCUGGAGUAUGGCAGAGGAGACUAGAAUUCCUGGUGUAGCAGUGAAAUGCGUAGAUAUCAGGAGGAAUACCGAUGGCGAAGGCAGGUCUCUGGGUCAAUACUGACGCUCAUGCACGAAAGCGUGGGGAGCAAACAGGAUUAGAUACCCUGGUAGUCCACGCCCUAAACGAUGUCAACUGGUUGUUGGGGGAUUUAUUCUCUUAGUAACGAAGCUAACGCGUGAAGUUGACCGCCUGGGGAGUACGGUCGCAAGAUUA